CCUACGGGAGGCAGCAGUGAGGAAUAUUGGUCAAUGGUCGGGAGACUGAACCAGCCAAGCCGCGUGAGGGAUGAAGGUACAGAGUAUCGUAAACCUCUUUUGUCAGGGAACAAAGGCGGGGACGUGUCCCCGGAUGAGUGUACCUGAAGAAAAAGCAUCGGCUAACUCCGUGCCAGCAGCCGCGGUAAUACGGAGGAUGCGAGCGUUAUCCGGUUUUAGUGGGUUUAAAGGGUGCGCCGGCGGGCGUUUAAGUCAGCGGUCAAAGCCCGGGGCUCAACCCCGGCCCGCCGUUGAAACUGGCAGUCUCGAGUUGGAGAGAAGUAUGCGGAAUGCGCGGUGUAGCGGUGAAAUGCAUAGAUAUCGCGCAGAACUCCGAUUGCGAAGGCAGCAUGCCGGCUCCACACUGACGCUGAGGCACGAAAGCGUGGGUAUCGAACAGGAUUAGAUACCCCUGUAGUC
rnacentral:rRNA from 1 species